rnacentral:sRNA from 1 species
AUCUAACUGGGUGUCCUCUGUAGCUGCUGGAAACUCUGGCCCAGCUGCGGGAGGACCAGCAAGUGCGUGUCUUGCUCUUCAGAAGUGGAGUGAAGGGCGUGUUCUGUGCAGGUGCAGACCUGAAGGAGCGGGAACAGAUGAGUGAAGCAGAGGUGGGGGUUUUUGUCCAGCGACUCCGGGGCCUGAUGAAUGACAUCGGCCCCCAUUGCUGUGCGGCUGGGCAAAGUAGCCAUUGACCGAGGAAUAGAGGUGGACAUUGUAUCCGGGAUGGCCAUUGAAGGGAUGUGCUAUGCCCAGAACAUUCCAACCCGGGACCGGCUAGAGGGCAUGGCAGCCUUCAGGGAGAAGCGGCCCCCCAAAUUUGUUGGCAAAUGACCCCCAUUUUAACCUUCAGCAUGGGAGAUGCAUGCCCUGAAGAGCAGGAUCCAGAAGGAAGAUUUGUGGCCGAAUUUACUUCAUCAUUUCACCUCUCCAGGCUUCCGUUUCUUCACAAGGAUGAUGAUGGAGAUAAAAUGACUGGCGUGAUGCCUGGAACCAAGGUGCUGAUCCUACCACCUACUGCUACCUUCCUUAGCUUCACCCUGGCUAGAAAUAAUCACGAGGGUUGGGUUUGCUUUGGAAAAUGCCGUCUCUCUACUUGAAUGAUAAAGAAUUAAAUUAGA